rnacentral:rRNA from 1 species
UACGUAGGUGGCGAGCGUUGUCCGGAUUUACUGGGCGUAAAGGGAGCGUAGGUGGUUAAUUAAGUCUGAUGUGAAAGCCCACGGCUUAACCGUGGAGGGUCAUUGGAAACUGGUUGACUUGAGUGCAGAAGAGGGAAGUGGAAUUCCAUGUGUAGCGGUGAAAUGCGUAGAGAUAUGGAGGAACACCAGUGGCGAAGGCGGCUUCCUGGUCUGCAACUGACACUGAGGCGCGAAAGCGUGGGGAGCAAACAGG